AAACCAACAGGGAUUGCCUUAGUAACGGCGAGUGAAGCGGCAAAAGCUCAAAUUUGAAAUCUGGCACUUUCAGUGUCCGAGUUGUAAUUUGAAGAAGGUAACUUUGGAGUUGGCCCUUGUCUAUGUUCCUUGGAACAGGACGUCACAGAGGGUGAGAAUCCCGUGCGAUGAGGUGUCCAAUUCUAUGUAAAGUGCUUUCGAAGAGUCGAGUUGUUUGGGAAUGCAGCUCUAAGUGGGUGGUAAAUUCCAUCUAAAGCUAAAUAUUGGCGAGAGACCGAUAGCGAACAAGUACAGUGAUGGAAAGAUGAAAAGAACUUUGAAAAGAGAGUGAAAAAGUACGUGAAAUUGUUGAAAGGGAAGGGCUUGAGAUCAGACUCGGUAUUUUGCAAGCCUAUCCUUCGUGGAGAGGUUUAUUAGCAGCUUACCGGGCCAGCAUCGGUUUGGAUGGUAGGAUAAUGGCAUUGGAAUGUGGCUCCUCGGAGUGUUAUAGCCUUUGUUGAUACUGCCUAUCUAGACCGAGGACUGCGUCUUUGACUAGGAUGCUGGCGUAAUGAUCUUAAGCCGCCCGUCUUGA
rnacentral:rRNA from 2 species